rnacentral:tRNA from 1 species
GGCCCCGCAGUGUGAGGGCACAUCAGAUUGCAAAUCUUAUAGAGCAGACAUCUCCCCUGCCGGGGCUU